GAUGAACGCUGGCGGCGUGCCUAAUACAUGCAAGUCGAGCGAACAGAUGAGGAGCUUGCUCCUCUGACGUUAGCGGCGGACGGGUGAGUAACACGUGGAUAACCUACCUAUAAGACUGGGAUAACUUCGGGACACCGGAGCUAAUACCGGAUAAUAUAUUGAACCGCAUGGUUCAAUAGUGAAAGACGGUUUUGCUGUCACUUAUAGAUGGAUCCGCGCCGCAUUAGCUAGUUGGUAAGGUAACGGCUUACCAAGGCAACGAUGCGUAGCCGACCUGAGAGGGGGAUCGGCCACACUGGAACUGAGACACGGUCCAUACUACUACGGGAGGCAGCAGUAGGGAAUCGUCCGCAAUGGGCGAAAGCCUGACGGAGCAACGCCGCGUGAGUGAUGAAGGUCUUCGGAUCGUAAAACUCUGUUAUGAGGGAAGAACAAAUGUGUAAGUAACUAUGCACGUCUUGACGGUACCUACUCAGAAAGCCACGGCUAACUACGUG
rnacentral:rRNA from 1 species